AGGGUCACGCUCAUUCCGCCAACCCCAUUUUCUUCCACCCCCUGCCCUGCCGCUCCUACUCCAACCGAGAAAAAAAGGAACGAGACAGUGCCAGUGCUGUGUGUCGGUGCACCCCCCACCACCACCAAAAAAAAAAUAAAGGUAGUUUUCUCAACACCCAUCAGCAAACUGGAGAGACGAGGAACUGCAUUGUAGAAACCCGAACAUAGAGAGAGAGUCACACGAGUCUGUUUGCGGGUAGAGGCACAUUUUCGAGUGCGAGCGCGUCCCGCAUGCGCGCCGAUCGUCGUUGAAGGCGCCGCCGUAUUCGUUCUCGCACUUGCUCGCGCUUUCUCUCCUUCCAUCCGCGCGUGCGUGGCAGCAGAGUCCCCUUCUUUUCUGUUCCGCUCCUCUUCUGUCUUCCCCACAGGGUGCUCCCUCCCUCUCUGUCUGUAACUGUCUGUCCCCUCGAUUCAAGCAGGCGCUGAUUUCGCAAGGAACGUCUUUGUCGUGUGCGAGUCUUGUCUGGGUGUGCCUGUUUGGUGUGUGGGUCACUACCUCAUUGCUUUUCUUCUUUUGUUUGGGGCGUUUGUCUCGCUUCUGGAAGUGAUCGGAGUCUGUCCCCCAGCCACCCUCAUCAAACACGGCACGCGCACCUUUUCUUUUUUUUCUCCGAGGUGGAGGCUCAAUCUUGGUCCCUUCUUCCCUCUUCUCCCCUCUUUCACUCUGGCCCGCCUCGUUCUCUGGACCCGCAUACAGACCACAAAAGGGGGAAGCGGAGGCAACAACAACAAAAAAAAAGGAAACCAGAAAGCCAACAGGAUUGACGCGCACCCUCCUGAGCGACGACGCAGAGACGCACGCGUAUAUUUGUCGACACAGAGGCAUUCGGUGCAGUGGACACUCGACUACGCUCACAUGAAACAAAACCGAUACGGAAACGAAGCCAAACGAGAUCCACAAGAGUAGCUAUUUACGUGUAGAAGAAAUAUAUAUGUUUAUGUGUGUACGCGGGCCCCCUAUUUGUUGGCGCUCUUCUCCUUGCGUCUGUGCUCCUCUUGUUUGGUGCGUGUACACCCCUUGUCCUUCGUCUUCAUUUCUUCUUGCCGUUGGUGCGGUCUCUGAUCUCUUCUCGCGGGACGGUAGGCCGAGCACGCCACUCCAGUGAAGCCGACGUGCUUGUUGCUGCUCCCACCCACCCAUCCCUUUCUCUUUUUUGAUUUUCUGCAUCUUUUUCGACGACCUUCCUCCCUCAACCUUCACCACCCCUGACUCUCUCCUUGUUUUUCCCAUUCGUUUUUGGUUCCUUGCACUCUUUUUUAGGGGUGUGUGUUGGGUGGGCGGGUGCGAACUUCCCUCCUUUCUGUUUAGCCUCGUCUUUACCGCACAGCUGCUCCUGAGUUUCCCCUUGACCUAGCGUUUUUUGUGACUCUGGUGGACUGGGUGCGUGCGCUUUAGUGCUCGUGUGCUGUCAUCCAUCUUUCCCGCCCUUCCUCCUCAUCUUCAUUGCUUAUCAACGUUCUCGUCACCGGUGGCCUCGUCGACCGUGCAGCACAGCCGCUUUUGUUGAAACUUUCGUCUGGCGUGUGUUUGUUUGUUUGUUUCACUCACCUCUCCCACCAACCCCCUCCCCAAACCUCACUAGCACUCACGAGAGCGACCAGAUCCCUUUCUUGACCAAUCUGCUUUCUGUUUUUUUUUUCGUUUCGUCCAGCCUCUGUCCCGCGGUGUCCUAUUCUUUGUUGUUUUCGCUUUUGAGAUUGUGUGUGUGUGUGUGCAGGUAUGUGUAUCUGUGCGCGUGUGUGUGCCUCUCCGCUAUUUCUUCUUCGUUCUCCAUUGUUUCUGUGGCGGUGCCGGUAAGUCCGAUUCAUUUCUCUCGUAUUCGACUGUCGAGUGCCGUUUGACUUCACUCUCCGCACACACGCACACACACACACGCACCAUCUCAACUUCUCUUUUCCUUAUUUUCUCGCGUGUUCCUGAUAUCCCCCUCUCCUCUUUGUGGUUGUUGCUCGGUGCAGGUACGUGUGUGUGUUUUUUUUCCCAUUCUCUAUUACACUUUUGCGUGCGGUGGGCAAAAGCUGCGGGUUCGCCCACGUUUUUCUUUUGUUUCUUACCUUCCUUUUCUGUCUCACACACACCGUCCCCCUUUCUCUUUCCCUUUUUAUUUUGUGGUUUUGAUUCACUCGUGCUCUUCCUGCGGUUGUUCUCUCUCUCUCUUGUAAACUGUGCUGAUGAUCAGCACUGAUCGAUAGCAAGGUUUAUCUUGCCGUUUGCUUGCUUGUGUGCUUCAUUGUCGCUGUGGGUGCUUCUGCUUGUGGGUGCUUGUGGGUGUGCGCGCGGCUUUCUAUCCGAAGACACAACGUCAAGAGAAUUGAGAGGGCAACUCAAGACGUUACAUUUUCCGCUAUCUGUUUCUUCGUCUUGCUGUUGUUCUGAUUAUUAUCUCUUUUCGCCCUUGUCUACCUUCACACGCUCGUCAUCUUGUUUUCUUGUUGUGUCCUUGUGCGGUCACGCGUGUACCCCUAUUAGCACAAUCUGUUUUGCGGCGCUUUUCAGGCAUUCUUUUUCCUAUUGUGCGCAGCACCUUCGUCGACGAAGUCCUUUGCCUUGUCGCCUCUUCCCUCGGCCCUCAAUGGAGCCCGAAAAGUGUGAAGCCUCCGCAGCCGCGGCAGCUGGGUCAGAGACGCCACCACAGGCGCAUACCAUCCGCGACCCCAUCGACCCUCGGCAGGAGCUGGUGAGCCCCUCGUCUAACAACGACUCAUACUAUCACAGCCUGCGGGCAGAGGAUCAGAGCCGCGGCGUUUUGAGCUCGUUGCCCUCAUCGGCCAACGCAUCCGCUUCAACAUACGGACCAGGGCAGGCCGACUUUGGCGUCUCAAAGGGACACACAGCGGCGUUUCAGCAACCGCAGGGUCGCGCCGAACAUACCGUGAAAGGCAGCUUUAACCACGCCAACCCCAAGGCUCCGCAGCAGCGCAUGCAAGGCUCCACGCCACUGACCCCACCCCCGCCAACGUCUACGGUGAAGACAGUCAACUGCAUCUACACCCCGCUCCACCUCGACUCGCAGCUCCUCGCAUCCCCAUGGCCAGGAUACGGGUGGCCAGCAGUACACGCACCAUCACCCACACGCGCGGGAGGGGCUUCGGCCGCAGUACCGCUAGCCUCAUACUGGAACGCCAACUCGAGCCCGAUGCCCUACCCAUCGGGAUCGCCGACGGCCUACAACAGCGGCUGCCGUAUCAUUUCACCCUCUAUACAGUCUCUUCGGUUAGUGCCGCCACACCAGCAGCAUGGCAAUGACGGCGCCUCGCCGGCGCAGCUGAGCUUUUCGAACUUGGGUCACGAUAACAGCUUCCUUGCGGCAUCCUCGUCCUUCGCUUCCCCUUCGAGUCUUGGAGUCGUGCAUUCCACCAUCCUCGACGCACCGCUGCAAGUUUCGCUCAUGCCGCCGCCGUACCGCGGAGACCGGCCGCUCUUCAGCUUCGGCAACUCCAUUAUGCAGUCAGCCCCCUUCACCCACACGUUGCCGACGUCGACCUCGCGCGGUCGCUCCAUCUACCUUGAUGCAAUGAUGGAGCUGGCGCACCACAAGAGCGAGGUGGACAACCCGCUCGCCGCUGUGGGCAGCGGUGCUUCUUACGGGCACGACACGAACCCACUCAGAGGCAGCGGUAUCACCUCCUCGUUCGGGGAUGUGGCGGCCGCUGGCGGGCCAUCUGACGCGCAUCUGUGCAGCUUCGCUGUUUCGGCCUCGAGCGAAGAUGUCUCUGUCAGCAACACAGAGAUCCUGGUCGGCAUGGGAAACGUGGACUGGCGGCGUCUCGAGCGGCCUUCGCCGGGGAACUCGUCUUUGGUGGAUCAGGUGACCGCACGGUCAGGCAUCCAGCGAACGGGAUCGCUUGGCAGCCACGCAAACACUCUCGAUAAUGAGAGCGACGGUAUCGAUUUCGGUGACGAGGGAGAGGAUGGCACAGAGAAGGCCCGGCAGAGUUUCAACAGAACACCCGAGGCACUGGCUUCCACGGGGCGGGGCACGCAAGCUGCGGUCGCCGUUGCCACCGCUGCGGACCUGGGACAGGCGGCUUCGCAGACCUUUGGGGAGGCAAGCUUGCCGGCGCCGCUCGAACACACCGCGCACCCUGACGGGGCAAAGGGCAAGGAAGGUGGCUUCUCAUUGCCAGCGUCUGCACUCGCUUGCAGUGACGGUUCUGGCACGAUGGCUGCGGCCGCUUCGGUCACGGCGCUGUCCCGGGGCAGAGCGUGCGAGAUCGCCACGCCACUUGUGAACCUGCCCCUCCGCCCAAGUAUUGGACCGACGUCCCCUGCAAGCGCUUCGGCUGUUGCAACAGCGGGCCGUGCCAUUUACGAUCUCCAUCUCUUCACGCCGUCGCCCGUUGAUCAAGGCGUGCACGUGUUUGGCACCAUGCGCGACAGCGCCACUCGCAACAGCCCUUCAGAGCAGAGCACCUCCACCCUGAGCCUCAUCCCCGCUGUCGGGGUGUGGCAGGCCUCGCCGGCGAUCAUGUCGGCGUGGCACUCCUCGAAUCUCACGCCGACGACGGCGCUUAGCACAGCGCACGCACUGCGCGACUUGCUAGAGAUGCUCCGCCUGCUUCAGAGCGACAUCGAAAACGUAGGCAAUCAACUCUCUGUGUACGAGCAGAUGGUGCGUCGUUGGAUCAGAAACACACUGAGUAUGCUGCUGCUACUAACUACGGAGCUGGCGCACAGCGUCGCCCUUGCAGUAAUGGAGGUGCCGGAGGGCGCGGCGGAUCAGGCGGCCGCGUACACGCGACUGCAAGUAGACAUUGCCGCAGCCGCCGCGUCGUGUAAUGAGCCGCUGCACGCGACCAUUGAUGCCGUAAAGCGGGAGCAAGCGAACCUGGAGCCGGUGCUGCUGACGACCAUGCUCGCACGGGGUGCUAUCGCGUCGCUUCUGCAAUUUUUGGAAAGGCCCUACGUGACUGCCAGGGCGCAGAGCGGCGCAACCACCGCUACAACAAGGAUGUUGAAUGGCAUGUGCGCGCCGUCAAAGCAGUGCGGCGGUCGGGGUCCUUAUGGCCCGGCGGCCCCGGCCGUGACGCCGCUGACGCCAGAGCGCAUCGAGGAGCUGAUGGACAAUAAAAUCCUGCAGGAAGAGCUAAACAUCAACUGGCCGCAAUUCAGGUCGUCAUACAACCGCCAGGUUCUGCGCUACCUCUGUCUACGCGUGCUCUACGUCGCUCUGAGCAGGGACGACAGCAGUGUCGGUGACGUCGCUACAGAACAGCAGGGCUGCCGCACCACCACCGACGCAGACGCACCUGCCACUGCGUCCACCGCUCUGGAGACGGUUGUGUCGGCGUGGGUGGAAGGGCAGGUGCUUCAGUGGACCGCGCAGCAGCCCGCCAUCACCCUGCAGCACCGUCAUGCAACCCCCACCGACUCCAAGCUCGACGAUGCCGACGGGGCGGCCGUUCGCGAAGGUCUGUGCGGGGAGCUCCCGUCCUUCGAGCGCAUUGCAGAGGUCUUCAGCGUCUUUGGCGAGAGUGAGGGCUGGCGGUGGUGGUACAACCUGCUGGGCGACGCCAUGUCGUGCAACUUGCACGUGCGCGAUAGCAGGCGCAUCUACGAUUACGUCGAGAAGCAGCUCAUGGACUCGCCGGCGGCGCCAGCCGUGGCGGUGCGGACUGCGUUGUCGCUCCACGAGGUAAAGGCGAAGGAAGUGGAAGUGGAACUCGAGAAGGUUGAGUGUAGGCUAUCGGCUAUGGAGGAGAGCGGCAAGGCGCAACGCGUCAACAUCCUGCAGCACAUUCUGCGCCGCAUCUUUGUUCUCAGCUUGGUCUCCUCGGUGCAGCGGACGCUUGGCAAGGACACGCCCGUAUCGGGGGCACAGCUUGCCACGUACGUGCAGCUGCAGCGCAAGUCGCUGGAGGAUGUGGAGGCGCAGCUGAGCGCGCAUCAUACAGAGUGCACUGUUCACUCCAAGCACAUCCGCACGUUUGUGUCGCUCUUCCCCGAUACUGCGAGUGCCGCACAGGCGCCAACCCAGUCGAGACAGUGGGCGCUCAGCAAGAGCGCUGCCAUGAGUGGCAUGCGUACGCACACGAAUCAACCGCAACACGGCCCUUUUUCGCGCUCAUCGCCGGAUCUGCAGGCAGAUGAUACUCCCCUCCAGUGGAACUGUCCGACCGUCGCGUCACUCGCGGUGCUGCUCGCCCGCCCGAGGCCUGACAGUGACGCUAUGCACCGCCGCGAAGGCUUCCCUGCAGCGACGGCGGCGGACGCGAACACGGAGGGCAGCGAAGAGGAUCGCACGCGCGCUGCAGCGGCAUUGGCUCGCGAUGUCGCAACGCGGUUGGUGGCGACAGUGCAAAGCCUCUGUGCACUCCUGCAGUCUGACGUAGAUGUCACGGAGUCGCACCAGGCGUACUGCGCCUCGCCGGCAAAGAUGUCUGCGCCGUCGACGCGGGCGCUUCGCCGCCUGCAAGCUUCCCUUUCCGAAGCCAAUCAUUGCAUUCGAGUGUGCAUAACAUCUCUGCACACUGUCGACUGAGGCCUGAAGGUGUGGCAGACAGAAGGAAGGCGGACCCCACGCCGGUGGCGGCAUGUCAUUCGUACGCGAAUGUGGGUGUUUCUCACAGAGAGAGAGUCUCUCUCUGCUAGUUUUGCCCCGCCCCACCUAACUCCAAGGAGCUUCCCACCAACCCACACCCACACACGCCCGCUCUCCUCCCCUUUUUCCACCUUUUCGUCUUAUCUGUGUUUCUUUUCUCAUUUUCUUUGUGUGGGCCGUUAAACGUUGACGAACGCCAGUGCCCACUCGCGUGGCUGCCAGCGUCUGUUGUGGGUCGCUAUCCUACUUGAUGGAGGCCUUUGGUGUCUUUCCCUCUCUGAUUGGUCUCUCUUCCCCCCUCCAGUCUUUCCUUCCUCGCUUGCUCCUCCCUCUCCAUCUCCCUCUCCUUGUGUCUUGCGCGCUGUUCUCAUUAUUCGCUCUCCUUUUCUUUGUGUGUGUGUGUGUGCGUGCGUGUGCGUGAUGGUGAUGAUGGACUGAUCGAGGCCGUCGUAUUGCUCACAGUAGCGAACUCCCGCCCGCGAAACAAGUACAGGGACAAAGGGAAGACAUCUAGUUAUAUAUAUAUAUUGUGAAAAGUUGAAUAGAGAUGGGAUGAGAGGCAUGAUAUCAGCCCCCUGUCGCCGCCGCCGCUGCUGCUGUUGUGAUGUUCAU
rnacentral:misc_RNA from 1 species